GUGCCAGCAGCCGCGGUAAAACGUAGGAGGCGAGCGUUAUCCGGAUUUACUGGGUGUAAAGCGCAUGCAGGCGGUCGGCUAAGUUGGGUGUGAAAGCUCCUGGCUUAACUGGGAGAGGUCGCUCAAGACUGGCCGACUAGAGGAUGGGAGAGGAAAGCGGAAUUCCGGGUGUAGUGGUGAAAUGCGUAGAUAUCCGGAGGAACACCAGUGGCGAAAGCGGCUUUCUGGCCCACUCUUGACGCUCAGAUGCGAAAGCUAGGGUAGCAAACGGGAUUAGAUACCCUCGUAGUCC
rnacentral:rRNA from 1 species